rnacentral:rRNA from 1 species
UCUAGAGCUAAUACAUGCAUUUUACGGCUGUGGGGCUACUCGCAGUCGGUGGCAUUUAUUAGAAAGCUACCAAUCGCAUUUUGCGUGGUGAAUCUAGAUAACUGUGCAGAUCGUAUGGCCUCGAGCCGGCGACAUUUCGAUUGAAUUUCUGCCCUAUCAACUAUUGUCGGUAGUGUAGUGGACUACCGAGGUUUUGACGGGUGACGGGGGAUCAGGGUUCGAUUCCGGAGAGGGAGCCUGAGAAACGGCUACCACAUCCAAGGAAGGCAGCAGGCGCGCGAAUUACCCAAUCCAGACAAUGGGAGGUGGUGACGAAAAGUACCGGAUGACGGCCUAAGGCUGUCAAUCUGGAAUGGAACCAAUUUAGAAAUUUGGUUGAGAAACUACUGGAGGGCAAGUCUGGUGCCAGCAGCCGCGGUAAUUCCAGCUCCAGUAGCGUACCUCAAAGUUGCUGCGCUUAAAACGCUCGUAGUUGGAUCACAAACUGUGUGUUGGUGGGUGGGGAUGACAGUGUCUAUUUCGGAAAGGUAACGGUGUGUCAUCAUGCCGCGGCCGAUCCGGAUGAUGCAGAGUCGCCACCGUAAGCCGACGGACAGUAAUUGCACGUGAGGAUGAAUGUUGGCCUUGAGUGAGCAGACGUUUGUGUCUCACGGAGUGUGCCUUGAGUAAAUCAGAGUGCUUAAAGCAGGCUUUACGCUUGAAUGUUUUAGCAUGGAACGAACAAUUGUGUAUGGUGUAUGCUGGCGAGGUUUGGAGUGCUUCGGUGCCACAGCCAUCAGUAUACGACACCGACCUUCAAUUACGGAUGUUGGUUCCGUAUUGGGGUACUGAUUAAAAGGAGCGGUUGGGGGCAUUGGUAUU